CCCUUAGAUGCUCUGGGCCGCACGCGCGCUACACUGGUCGAUGCAACGAGUUUCUUUCCUUGGCCGACAGGCCUGGGCAAUCUUUGAACAUCGAUCGUGAUCGGGAUAGAUUCUUGUAAUUUUUGAUCUUAAACGAGGAAUUCCUAGUAAACGCAAGUCAUCAGCUUGCAUUGAUUACGUCCCUACCCUUUGUACACACCGCCCGUCGCACCUACCGAUUGAAUGGUCCGGUGAAAUCUCCGGACUGGCGUGAGUCGGAGCAAUCUGACAAACACCGGAAAGUUGAUUAAACCUUACCAUUUAGAGGAAGGUGAANUCGUANCA
rnacentral:rRNA from 1 species